GAUGAACGCUAGCGGCAGGCCUAAUACAUGCAAGUCGAACGGUGUCCUUCGGGGCAUAGUGGCGCACGGGUGCGUAACGCGUAAACAAUCUACCUAUUACUGGGGGAUAGCCCUGGGAAACCGGGAGUAAGCCCGCAUGGUACAGCGAAGUUUCAUGACUUUGCUGUUAAAGAUUUAUCGGUAAUAGAUGAGUUUGCGUCUGAUUAGCUAGUUGGGGGGGUAACGGCCCACCAAGGCGAUGAUCAGUAGGGGCUCUGAGAGGAGCGGCCCCCACACUGGCACUGAGACACGGGCCAGACUCCUACGGGAGGCAGCAGUAGGGAAUAUUGGGCAAUGGUCGCAAGACUGACCCAGCCAUGCCGCGUGCAGGAUGAAGGCGCUCAGCGUUGUAAACUGCUUUUAUCGAUGAAGAACGGCCAGAGUGCGCUCUGGUGUGACGGUAAUCGAGGAAUCAGCACCGGCUAACUCCGUGCCAGCCGCCGCCGUAAUAC
rnacentral:rRNA from 1 species